UACGUAGGGUGCGAGCGUUAAUCGGAAUUACUGGGCGUAAAGCGUGCGCAGGCGGUUUUGUAAGUCAGAUGUGAAAUCCCCCGGGCUCAACCUGGGAACUGCGUUUGAAACUACAAGGCUAGAGUGUAGCAGAGGGGGGGUAGAAUUCCACGUGUAGCAGUGAAAUGCGUAGAGAUGUGGAGGAAUACCAAUGGCGAAGGCAGCCCCCCUGGGUUAACACUGACGCUCAUGCCACGAAAGCGUGGGGAGCAAACAGG
rnacentral:rRNA from 1 species